rnacentral:rRNA from 1 species
CCUACGGGAGGCAGCAGUGAGGAAUAUUGGUCAAUGGUCGCGAGCCUGAACCAGCCAAGUCGCGUGAGGGAUGAAUGCACUGCGUAUUGUAAACUUCUUUUGUCAGGGAAUAAAGUGUGGCACGUGUGCCUGUUUGUGUGUACUUUAUGAAUAAGCAUCGGCUAACUCCGUGCCAGCAGCCGCGGUAAUACGGAGGAUGCGAGCGUUAUCCGGAUUUAUUGGGUUUAAAGGGUGCGUAGGCGGUCUGUUAAGUCAGUGGUCAAAUGGCGGGGCUCAACCCCUGCCCGCCAUUGAAACUGGCAGUCUCGAGUUGAAGAGAAGUAUGCGGAAUGCGCGGUGUAGCGGUGAAAUGCAUAGAUAUCGCGCAGAACUCCGAUUGCGAAGGCAGCAUGCCGGCUCCACACUGACGCUGAGGCACGAAAGCGUGGGUAUCGAACAGGAUUAGAUACCCGGGUAGUC